UGGGGAAUAUUGCACAAUGGAGGAAACUCUGAUGCAGCGACGCCGCGUGAGUGAAGAAGGUCUUCGGAUCGUAAAACUCUGUCCUUGGUGACGAAAAAAAUGACGGUAGCCAAGGAGGAAGCCCCGGCUAACUACGUGCCAGCAGCCGCGGUAAUACGUAGGGGGCGAGCGUUGUCCGGAUUUACUGGGCGUAAAGGGUGAGUAGGCGGUAAUAUGUGUCAGAUGUAAAAGGCUAUGGCUUAACCAUAGUUGGCAUUUGAAACUGGAUUACUUGAGUGCAGGAUAGGAAAGUGGAAUUCAUAGUGUAGCGGUUAAAUGCGUAGAUAUUAGGAGGAACACCAGUGGCGAAGGCGACUUACUGGACUGUAACUGACGCUGAUUCACGAAAGCGUGGG
rnacentral:rRNA from 1 species